UCGUUCGUGAGGAGAUAAAGCUUCUCGGGGUGGAAACAAGGUCACACUCCUGAGCAGCUUUCGGA
rnacentral:sRNA from 16 species